rnacentral:rRNA from 1 species
CCUACGGGGGCUGCAGUGGGGAAUAUUGGACAAUGGGCGAAAGCCUGAUCCAGCCAUGCCGCGUGUGUGAAGAAGGCCUUCGGGUUGUAAAGCACUUUCAGUGGGGAAGAAAGCCUUGGGGCUAAUACCCUCGAGGAAGGACAUCACCCACAGAAGAAGCACCGGCUAACUCCGUGCCAGCAGCCGCGGUAAUACGGAGGGUGCGAGCGUUAAUCGGAAUUACUGGGCGUAAAGCGCGCGUAGGCGGUCUGAUAAGCCGGUUGUGAAAGCCCCGGGCUCAACCUGGGAACGGCAUCCGGAACUGUCAGGCUAGAGUACAGGAGAGGAAGGUAGAAUUCCCGGUGUAGCGGUGAAAUGCGUAGAGAUCGGGAGGAAUACCAGUGGCGAAGGCGGCCUUCUGGACUGACACUGACGCUGAGGUGCGAAAGCGUGGGUAGCAAACAGGAUUAGAUACCCGAGUAGUC